AUUGAACGCUGGCGGCAGGCUUAACACAUGCAAGUCGAGCGGAGCGAGGGUGCUUGCACCUUAGCUUAGCGGCGGACGGGUGAGUAAUGCUUAGGGAUCUGCCUAUUAGUGGGGGACAACAUUCCGAAAGGAAUGCUAAUACCGCAUACGCCCUACGGGGGAAAGCAGGGGAUCUUCGGACCUUGCCCUAAUAGAUGAGCCUAACUCGGAUUAGCUAGUUGGGGGGGUAAAGGCCUACCAAGGCGACGAUCUGUAGCGGGUCUGAGAGGAUGAUCCGCGAAACGGGGACUGAGACAAGGCCCAGACUCCUACGGGAAGCAGCAGUGGGGAAUAUUGGACAAUGGGCGGAAGCCUGAUCCAGCCAUGCCGCGUGUGUGAAGAAGGCCUUUUGGUUGUAAAGCACUUUAAGCGAGGAGGAGGCUACUCUGAUUAAUACUCAGGGAUAGUGGACGUUACUCGCAGAAUAAGCACCGGCUAACUCUGUGCCAGCCGCCGCCGUAACAC
rnacentral:rRNA from 1 species